UCUUGGAUUAUGCAAUUAAAGAAAAUUGAAUUGUUGGCAUAGCUAAGCAACUCCUCAGUUUUGACAAAAAAAAAAAAAAAAAAAAGAAACAACUCCUGAGUUGCUAUAUAAACAGUGUUCAAAGCUCGACAGAUCUUCACUCUUCACAUCCCAACUGUCACACACACUUCACCUAGCUCAGUCAGCAAAUAAUCUCCAAACCCUUUUAUCCUUAAGCUUUGCUAAGACUAAAUUGGCUGGAAAAAUGGCUGAUAACUAUUCUUCUUCAUCUUAUUCUCAGCCCACUUUGCCACUACACCUUUGUUUCUUCCUUCUGAUAUUGUUCACCUUUGUUAGUGUCACAUGGUACAUCAACUAUGAGAAUAUCUUCGAACCCUUGUUUGAUCAGGGCUGGUGGAACUCCAUGGGGUGUUGGUCUGCUUCUUGUGAUUCUUCUCUUCAUGGUUUCUUACCAAUCUGGCUUGAGAGAGCGGUGGUUCCCUCUUCUAAGCAGAUGAUGAAGAUGGCUUCUCCUGGAUUGUGGUGAUCAUGAUUUUAAGUGGGAAUAUCUGCAACAUGGAGAAAACUGGUGAAAAAUCUUGUGGUGUUUAGUCACAACUAUGUAUAUUUUGAGUUUUAGGCAAGGGUGAUAAUUGAGAAUUGAGUUUGUCAAUCUCUUUCUCUCUUUGGCUGAGUUUCUAUGUACUUCUUUUGACCUCUAGUAUAUAGCAGUAAUAGGGGAAUGGUUAAUGAAUGGCCACUUCUUUUGUGUUCUGUAAUUAAUCAACUUCAGUGGCGAAAACAAUGAAGAAUUUUGCUCCUAUAGUUAGGCCAAGGGGGCUGGGCAUUGUGUAAUUAUAUUGACUGUGCCUUUUGUUUUGUAUCUCCUGUGGCAUGCUUUUCCACUUCUUGUUGUAUACGUUUUCUGAUUCAAUA